rnacentral:rRNA from 1 species
GGGCCCGCACAAGCGGUGGAGCAUGUGGUUUAAUUCGACGCAACGCGCAGAACCUUACCAGCCCUUGACAUCCCGAUCGCGGAUUACAGAGAUGUUUUCCUUCAGUUCGGCUGGAUCGGUGACAGGUGCUGCAUGGCUGUCGUCAGCUCGUGUCGUGAGAUGUUCGGUUAAGUCCGGCAACGAGCGCAACCCACAUCCCUAGUUGCCAGCAGUUCGGCUGGGCACUCUAUGGAAACUGCCCGUGAUAAGCGGGAGGAAGGUGUGGAUGACGUCAAGUCCUCAUGGCCCUUACGGGUUGGGCUACACACGUGCUACAAUGGUAGUGACAAUGGGUUAAUCCCAAAAAGCUAUCUCAGUUCGGAUUGUCGUCUGCAACUCGACGGCAUG